AAUAGUUACUAAGCGCUCACUGAGCGCUUUGUUUUCUGAACGCAACCAAUGUCACCUAGCCUUACCUUCUCCUUUCGAAAUUUCGCGCACAAGAAGGACUGCACAAUAUGUGAAUAUGCCGCUCUGCGUAAAAUAUCGAGAAAUGUGACAAACACGACGAGUGACAACUCUCGAAAAAGGAAUGCUAUGAGAUCUGAUGAGGCGGGAAGACUGGAAAAACGACAACAAAGAGUCAAAGUUUAUCGACAACAACGAUCGUCGAUCAUUUUUAUGUUUUAAUACUUUAUACGAAUAAUCGCGAGGCGCACUUGGCGAUAUGAACACUGCAUUGUGAAAUUAGCGUAUCAGAUGGCGAUCGAGGGAAUUAUGAAAAGACAAAUCUGCCAAUUAAUUCAAUCGCGAUAUUUAAUGAUAUUCAAAAGAGACGAAAUUUAACGCUCGAUAUCGCGAGACGCGGUAUAUUCGAAACCGCACCGCGCUUCUCGGCGCCACACGUGCCGAUUUCGAUUGUUAACUCGUCGUUUCUCAACGGACAUUUCCUCCCAAAUCGUAGAGGCAGCGCCAUGAUACAAGAGUGUCUUUUUCAAAGAUAUUUUCAACGUCAGAAGUGAUGAUGAAAAAUAUAAAAUUGUGCGGGUUGGAGGUCAUUCUCGAACUGUCGGCGCGGAUGAGAAAAAUCAGCGGCAAGUUAAAACACUUUAAUGUGCUUAAUUUAAUAAUGUUAUUACUGCAAUCCUAUUAGUAUUCUCAGCAUAGUAUCCGUAAUAAUUGAGACACGUUGUAUACAGAGUGUAGAUCACUUGAACAUGUAUGUAUAAAUUUGUAGGUCAAAUGUAUACGUUUACAUGUACAUCGUCUAAUUGCUGCAAGUCAGUCGGCUCAUCCCACGUCAAAGAGUCAGUUAAACUUGCGCUGUACAAAGGUUCAUUCUUAAAAGAUCUCUUUCGAUUAGCGAAGUUGUUUUAGCGUUUCUAAAAACAACACAAAUCUGAUAUCUUUACGAGGAUGUAUGCAAUGACCAUUAGCACGUUCAUUGCCGUUCACGCGAUAUCGCGUGUUGCGGCCCCUCACCAAACAGCCGUUCACGCGAUUGUUUUUUAUUAUGAGUGACAAACCAGGACCCUCGAAAAGACUCAGUUCAAUGCCAGAUCGUGC